GCUACUUACUGGACAACGCGCUGUGGAAUAAGUCGUGGGCUAGCAUUGUCCGUAAGUCAUGGGCGUAAAGGAUCGGUAGGUGGAUACUUAAGUGGGAGGUGAAAGCCCCGGGCUCAACCCGGGAACUGCAUUCCAAACUGGGUAUCUAGAGUGCAGGAGAGGAAAGCGGAAUUCCUAGUGUAGCGGUGAAAUGCGUAGAUAUUAGGAGGAACACCAGUGGCGAAGGCGGCUUUCUGGACUGUAACUGACACUGAGGCAUGAAAGCGUGGGUAGCAAACAGGAUUAGAUACCCCGGUAGUC
rnacentral:rRNA from 1 species